rnacentral:rRNA from 1 species
GACGAACGCUGGCGGCGUGCCUAAUACAUGCAAGUCGAGCGGACCAAAGGGAGCUUGCUCCUGGAGGUUAGCGGCGAACGGGUGAGUAACACGUGGGCAACCUGCCUGUAAGACUGGGAUAACAUCGAGAAAUCGGUGCUAAUACCGGAUAAUAAAAAGAACUGCAUGGUUCUUUUUUGAAAGAUGGUUUCGGCUAUCACUUACAGAUGGGCCCGCGGCGCAUUAGCUAGUUGGUGAGGUAACGGCUCACCAAGGCAACGAUGCGUAGCCGACCUGAGAGGUGAUCGGCCACACUGGGACUGAGACACGGCCCAGACUCCUACGGGAGGCAGCAGUAGGGAAUCUUCCGCAAUGGACGAAAGUCUGACGGAGCAACGCCGCGUGAGUGAUGAAGGUUUUCGGGUCGUAAAACUCUGUUGUUAGGGAAGAACAAGUGCCGUUCGAAAGGGCGGCACCUUGACGGUACCUAACGAGAAAGCCACGGCUAACUACGUGCCAGCAGCCG